rnacentral:rRNA from 1 species
UGAUAGGUGAGUUUGGUGAUGGCUCUGAUUGAACGCUGUCCAAAUGCUUGACACAUGCUAAUCGUACGUUUAAUUUAUGCUCUUCGGAUCUUAGUAUCAGGGCGCCAUGAGUGUUGUAGUGGUGUAAUAUCUUAUAUAAGAUAUUGGAGGUUUAUUAAAAGUGGUGUACAGGUGAGUGAAAGAUAAUCGGCCGACCUUGAAGAGAGGGGAUAAAAAAUCCCUCAUAAAUAAAAAAUAGUCGGCUAGCUAUUUGUUUGAGCGCACCUCGUAAGAUACUUCAUAUCCCCCAGAUCCCCCUCCGGGGGAUGAGGGGGAUGAGAGGUGCACUCAAACAGGAUAAAGGGUGUAAUAGCCGCUUUAAGAGGAAAAGAUAUCUGCGGGAUAGGUAGUAGUUAAGGUAAUGGCUCAACUAGCCAAUAAUUCUCGGAGUCGAAGCUGAAAUGGUUGAUCGACCACAUUGGGGAUGAAAAAAUCCCAAGGCGUAUUAGUACAGCAGUGAGGAAUUUUGGUCAAUGGCCUAGCGGCUGAACUGGCAACUUGGACGAACGGACUAUAAUUCAUAUGAACUAAUAUUCCCGAGUUUGCAUAAUUUUGUAGAUAGUACGGAAUAGUAGAGGAUCCUUUUUAGGAAUAAAGUUCUUAGUAUAUAUUGGAUAAUGACAGAUAUAUAUCUUAUGCCCUGACCAAUUACGUGCCAGCAGUCGCGGUAAUACGUAUGGGACUAGUGUUAUUCAUCUUAAUUAGGUUUAAAGGGUACCUAGACGGCUAAUGUCCACCUCUAAAAGGUAACUAGUUAGCUAGAGUUUUAUAUGAAGGGGCCGAACUUGUGGAGGAGAGUUUAAAUUCUUUGAUACCUAGAGGACGGAUAAAGGCGAAGGCAGCCUCUUAUGUAAAAACUGACGUUGAAGGACGAAGGCAUUGCGGCACGAAAAGGAUUAGGGACCCUAGUAGUCUUUGCAGAAAAUGAUGAAUGCCAUAGGUUAGGUUAAUCCUUAGUCUAUAAACGAAAGUGUAAGCAUUUCACCUCAAGAGUAAUGUGGCAACGCAGGAACUGAAAUCACUAGACCGUUUCUGACACCAGUAGUGAAGUAUGUUGUUUAAUUCGAUGAUCCACGAAAAAUCUUACCACAAUUUGAAUAGAAUAAAGUAAUCAAAAUAUAAGGGUGAACAAAUAUCUCUUCUUUUUUAGUAGUAAAGAAAAUAGAUACCUACUAUAAAGUUAAUAUUUAUUCUCAAUUAGUUUUAGGAAGUUUAUUCAUACAAGUGUUGCACGGCUGUUUCCAGUUAAUGUUGUGAAACUGUGGCAAAAGCCAUGGAAUUAACGUAAACCUGAGCUUUAUUUGUAAAAAUAUUUUGAUAGAGCUACAUCAUCUGCUAUAUUGGAUUUGAUAACAGGGACUAAGACAAGUCAUCAUGGCCUUAAUAUUGUGGGCUGAUAGAUAGACGUGCCACAUAUACCAUAACAAAGAGAUGCGAAACAGUGAUGUCGAGCUAACCUCAAAAAAAUGGAUAAAAAAUAUAUGGAUUGUAGCCUGAAACUCGGCUGCUUGAAUAAGAAAUUGCUAGUAAUCGUGAAUCACCAUGUCACGGUGAAUAUAACCUUGGAUUGGUACUAACCACUCGUCACAUGCUGAAAGUUGUAUGCGCAAUAAGUUUGCUUUCUUAUUUUAAGUCCAUGUAAGAACGGAUUACAUUCUUUUAAUAGGGUUCUUCGUAUGCGUGACGGCAAUUGGUGUUAAGUCGAAAUACGGUUCGUGUAGUGGAAGUUGCACGGGGCUAAUUAACUUUA